rnacentral:lncRNA from 1 species
CAGGAGCUGCAGCUCUGCGGGAGAGCUGAGCAGCAGGGUCAAUGAUGGUGGUUUGGCUGGCUGCAAUGAUGUGAGGGGAGAGAGAGAGUCCAGACAGCAGUAUGACUGAGAGUCAGCACUGUGUGGAGUUUGGAUUAUAAGCCGGCUCUGUCUUACAAAAAGCAAUGUUGUGGGAAGGAAAGGAAAAAGCUUUGACUGUCAAUGGGAUUCCAGCUGAUUUGUCCACAGGCACAAAACAAAAGCCAAAUGAUAAAGCUAUAGAGAAUAUCAGCUUGACUUGGAUGCACUAAAAAGAGUAAAGGAAGAUCAUCAGUUGGCUCAGAGGCUCCUUGACAACAACCCUCUUUUCUAUGGAUGGGCAUUUCUACAUCUAACCGAUGCACAGCUGGAUACUGGCUUGUUGAGGUUGUUGCCUAUUCCUGACUGGCACACAAUUAGGGUACUUAUAUGCAACGAUAACAGGAGACAGAAAAGCAGGAGCGGCAGAAACAGCAUGUUACAGACCAAAUCAAGAAUCUGCACGAAAACGUGCCUGAGUUGCAGCAGAGUCUGUCAAUCCCAGAUCAACCUCAUCAGCCAUCUUCAGACCCACAGAUAA